GAUGAAGAACGCAGCGAAACGCGAUAUGUAAUGUGAAUUGCAGAAUUCAGUGAAUCAUCGAAUCUUUGAACGCACAUGGCGCCUUCCAGUAUCCUGGGAGGCAUGCCUGUCCGAGCGUCGUUUCAACCCUUGAGCCCCCGUGGCCCGGCGUUGGGGAUCUGCCCAGGCAGUCCCCGAAAACCAGUGGCGGACCCGUUACAGGCCCUUCCCUUGCGUAGUAGCAUUCGCCUCGCAUCGGGAGCGGCGGGCUUCCAGCCUCUAAACCCCCAUCAAGUCCGCCCCGGCGGCACCAAGGUUGACCUCGGAUCAGGUAGGAAUACCCGCUGAACUUAAGCAUAUCAAUAAGCGGAGGA
rnacentral:misc_RNA from 1 species